rnacentral:rRNA from 1 species
GAACGCGAAGAACCUUACCCGGGCUUGAAUUGCAGAGGAAGGAUUUAGAGAUAAUGACGCCCUUCGGGGUCUCUGUGGAGGUGCUGCAUGGUUGUCGUCAGCUCGUGCCGUGAGGUGUCGGCUUAAGUGCCAUAACGAGCGCAACCCCUCUCUUCAGUUGCCAUCAGGUUAAGCUGGGCACUCUGGAGACACUGCCACCGUAAGGUGUGAGGAAGGUGGGGAUGACGUCAAAUCAGCACGGCCCUUACGUCCGGGGCUACACACGUGUUACAAUGGCCGGUACAGAGGGAUGGUGUAAUGCAAAUUGCAUCAAAUCUUGAAAGCCGGUCCCAGUUCGGACUGGGGUCUGCAACCCGACCCCACGAAGCUGGAUUCGCUAGUAAUCGCGCAUCAGCCAUGGCGCGGUGAAUACGUUCCCGGGUCUUGUACACACC